AGAAGACAAUUAACUUAUUCAAAAAAAAUGAAAACUGAAAAAUGUACAUGCCAUUUAUCUAUACGGAUGGCUUAACACCACAAAUUUACAUGCAUGGGACAAAUAACAUCCUAUAUUUCUUGUCUUUUCCUACACGCAAAACAAUGUUACUUGGAAUGCACCCUAUUAGCACUCCUAUUGCUUUUGAAAAGUGAAUCAAAGCAUGGAAGAACACAAUGAACAAUUUCAUAAAACAUCAUUUUCUUCACCGACCUCCUCUUAGCUGGAAAAACACUUCCUUUCUUGGGCUUGAACCAUGGAGUCUCCGCCUCAAUCACCACCACAUCCCUCAUGGCUGCAGCCUCGAUAGCGACAUCUUGCUUAGCUUCAGCCACCAUCAGAGCCAGUGUUUCUUCACUGUUUAAUGUAUUUGAUUAAAUUAUCUUAUAGUCUCCUUCUUCUAGUUGUUAAGAGGAUAAUAUUUUUGACAAUAAGUUUAGUGAUUAUAUAGGUUGUAGGGAAUCAUUGAAGUAAGAAAAAGUUGGGAAUGGAAGAAUUCCUAGAGAGUAGAGGGACCCCUGAAAAUUACAUCACAAUUUUACUUGCCAC
rnacentral:lncRNA from 1 species